AUUGAACGCUGGCGGCAUGCCUUACACAUGCAAGUCGAACGGCAGCGGGCCCUUCGGGGUGCCGGCGAGUGGCGAACGGGUGAGUAAUGCAUCGGAACGUACCCGGGAGAGGGGGAUAACCGGCCGAAAGGCUGGCUAAUACCGCAUGAACUCGGAAGAGCAAAGCGGGGGACCUUCGGGCCUCGCGCUCUCGGAGCGGCCGAUGUCCGAUUAGGCUAGUUGGUGGGGUAAAGGCCCACCAAGGCGACGAUCGGUAGCGGGUCUGAGAGGACGAUCCGCCACACCUGGGACGGGAAACGGCCCAGGCCCCCACGGGGGGGAGCAGUGGGGAAUUUUGGACAAUGGGGGGAAGCCUGAUCCAGCCAAGGCGGGGUGGUGAAGAAGGCCUUCGGGUUGUAAAGCCCUUUCGGCGGGGAAGAAAUCGGUCAGGCGAAUAGUCUGGCCGGAUGACGGUACCCGCAGAAGAAGCACCGGCUAACUACGUG
rnacentral:rRNA from 1 species